rnacentral:rRNA from 1 species
ACGGGAGGCAGCAGUGGGGAAUAUUGGGCAAUGGGCGGAAGCCUGACCCAGCGACGCCGCGUGAGGGAAGAAGAUCUUCGGAUUGUAAACCUCUUUCAGCAGGGAAGAAGCAAGUGACGGUACCUGCAGAAGAAGCCACGGCUAACUACGUGCCAGCAGGCGCGGUAAUACGUAGGUGGCGAGCGUUAUCCGGAAUUACUGGGUGUAAAGGGUGUGUAGGCGGGGAGGCAAGUCGGGCGUGAAAAUCAUGGGCUCAACCCAUGACUUGCGCUUGAAACUGUUUUUCUUGAGUGUGGGAGAGGUAAGUGGAAUUCCCAGUGUAGCGGUGAAAUGCGUAGAUAUUAGGAGGAACACCAGUGGCGAAGGCGGCUUACUGGACGAUAACUGACGUUGAGGCUCGAAAGCGUGGAGAGCAAACAGGAUUAGAUACCCUGGUA